CCUACGGGUGGCAGCAGUGAGGAAUAUUGGUCAAUGGACGGAAGUCUGAACCAGCCAUGCCGCGUGCAGGAAGACGGCUCUAUGAGUUGUAAACUGCUUUUGUAAAAGGGUAAACCGGAAUACGUGUAUGCAGCUGAAAGUACGGUACGAAUAAGGAUCGGCUAACUCCGUGCAAGCAGCCGCGGUAAUACGGAGGAUCCAAGCGUUAUCCGGAUUUAUUGGGUGUACAGGGUGCGUAGGCGGAUUGUUAAUUUAGCGGUGAAAUGUCCGAGCUCAACUCGGGAACUGCCUCUCAUACUGUUGAUCUAGAUCGUAGAUGCGGUAGGCGUAAUGUAUGGUGUAGCGG
rnacentral:rRNA from 1 species